GACGAACGCUGGCGGCGUGCUUAACACAUGCAAGUCGAACGGAAAGGCCCUGCUUUUGUGGGGUGCUCGAGUGGCGAACGGGGGAGUAACACGUGAGUAACCUGCCCUUGACUUUGGGAUAACUUCAGGAAACUGGGGCUAAUACCGGAUAGGAGCUCCUGCUGCAUGGUGGGGGUUGGAAAGUUUCGGCGGUUGGGGAUGGACUCGCGGCUUAUCAGCUUGUUGGUGGGGUAGGUGCUUACCAAGGCUUUGACGGGUAGCCGGCCUGAGAGGGUGACCGGCCACAUUGGUACUGAGAUACGGCCCAGACUCCAACGGGAGGCAGCAGUGGGGAAUAUUGCACAAUGAGCGGAAGCCUGAUGCAGCGACGCCGCGUGCGGGAUGACGGCCUUCGGGGUGUGAACCGCUUUCGCCUGUGACGAAGCGUGAGUGACGGUAAUGGGUAAAGAAGCACCGGCUAACUACGUG
rnacentral:rRNA from 1 species